rnacentral:sRNA from 12 species
AGCCUAACCCUUAUAAUUUAUAAGGUAUGGUAAUAAAACCCCGUCUAAGGUAUCAAGCUCCUCGUCAGAGCACCUUAGACGGGUCAUGUUGGGAAACUGAUAUGGGUAGCCCGAAAGGGUCUAUC